GGUUUUAGCCUUUAGGUGAAAUCCGUGCUGCAAUGCCACUUUACUGCUUUCACAUUCCACCCACAACUCUAAACCCUAGUCAUUUCCACCAAAAAUCCCACAAAGUCCUCGGCACCCACAAUGAGAAAAGGGUUUUGGCCAGCCGGAAAAUUUCCCAUGCUGCUCAUUCGAGAAUUUCACCUCUCUGGACUGUGGAUGAGAUUGCAGAAGCUGUAAAUGGCACAAUUGUACAACGGGGUCCUCCAGGACCCAUUUGUACGGAUACCAGAACCCUUGAACCAGGCCAAUGGUUCUUCGCGAUCAGGGGCGAAAAUUUUGAUGCCCAUGAGUUCAUAACACCCGAAUUGGGCCAUAAAGGCUGUGUUGGAGUGAUUGGAAACUGGGUUUGCCCGAAUUGGGACAAGGGCUUUGUGGAAAUGGGUGGUGACACCCUAACUUCAUUGGAGAAGAUGGCCAAUUAUGCAAGGAAUAAGUUUCACGGCUGUUUGGUUGGGGUAACAGGAAGUGCGGGGAAGACUACUACAAGAACCAUGAUAGCAUUGACUCUUGAAAGCCUAGGCCUGGUUCACCAAACUCAUGGGAAUGAGAAUAAUAGAAUUGGAGUCUGUUUGUCGUUAAUUGGGAUUCCUCAGAAUGUGGGGUUUGUAGUUUUGGAGUUGGGAAUGGAUAGAAGAGGAGAGAUUAUGGAGCUUGCAAGAAUGGCUCGGCCAUCCAUAAGAGUGAUUUUGAAUGUGGGGUGUGCUCAUUUGGAGAAUUUUGCAAGUUUAGAGGAGGUUGCAAUGGCAAAAGGGGAGAUUUUGGCAGAAGCCAAGCCAGGGGAUGUGUGUGUUCUGAAUGCAGAUGAUCCUCUUGUUAUGAGCCUUCCUGUUCCUCAUGGUGUCAAAAAGGUGCUAUUUGGUCAGAGGUUAGAGUGUGAUGUUCGGUUUGCAGCAGAAAAAGUGCAUGGGGGUCAUGGAGUUCGAGUGGUCCUAGAGAGAAAUCAUGAAAAGGUGGAAUUUGUGAUUCCCAGCCCAGGUCUGCAUUUGGCUCAGAAUGCAUGUGCGACUGCUGCAGUGGCAGUUGCAUUGGGGGUUUCUCUUCCUCAAGUUGGAAUAUCAUUGUCGAGAUUUAUUCCUGUUAGCAUGAGAUCAGAGCUUGAAGUUGCAAAAACUGGCAUCAAAAUUAUCAAUGAUGUUUACAAUGCCAACCCUGUUAGCACCAAGGCUGCCAUUGAAUUACUGAAAAACAUUGAUUGCAAAGGAAAAAGAGUUGCAAUUCUUGGCGAUAUGCUAGAACUUGGUCAAGCAGAGACACUGUCUCAUGAGAUGAUGCUAAGCCUUUGUUGUGAUUCCCAUUUUGAUCUAAUUGCUCUUGUUGGAAAGCGGUUCCUUAGAGCAGCUGAGAAUUUAAAUCUAGUUGGGGAAAGAAAUUUGUUAUAUUCACCUGAUGCGGAAAGCUUGGCAUUUGAAAUUGUGCAAAGGUUAAAUAGAAAUGACGUUAUUUUGGUGAAGGGCAGUCGGGGAAUGCAAAUGGAAAAAGUUGUAGCUGCAAUAAAGGCCAUGAAUCUAGGCUUUCCACAUGAAUAGUAAGGGGAUAGGAAUCAACUCAAUUUAGAAUUUUUUUUGUGCAAAACAAAGCUGUCACACAAGAUGACUAACUGGAAACCUCAGUUGUUACAUUAAAACUACUAUGCUAUGUUUUAUAAAAUGACUACUUUGUCUAACAACAUUUACAUGGAAAGGCAGAUUUAUGGGCUUUGUCGAACCAUAUCAAUCUUGAGAGUAAUUCAGAAGUUUGUC